AGUCAUAUGCUUGUCUCAAAGAUUAAGCCAUGCAUGUCUCAGUACAAGCCGAAUUAAGGUGAAACCGCGAAAGGCUCAUUAAAUCAGUUAUGGUUCCUUAGAUCGUACCCACAUUUACUCGGAUAACUGUGGUAAUUCUAGAGCUAAUACGUGCAAACAGAGCUCCGACCGGAGACGGGAGGAGUGCUUUUAUUAGAUCAAAACCAAUCGGCGGCGGUGGCGCUCGCGCCGCCGUUCGCCGCUCAACCUGGUGACUCUGAAUAACUUUCCGCUGAUCGCACGGUCUCGCACCGGCGACGCAUCUUUCAAAUGUCUGCCUUAUCAACUGUCGAUGGUAGGUUCUGCGCCUACCAUGGUCGUAACGGGUAACGGGGAAUCAGGGUUCGAUUCCGGAGAGGGAGCCUGAGAAACGGCUACCACAUCCAAGGAAGGCAGCAGGCGCGCAAAUUACCCACUCCCGGCACGGGGAGGUAGUGACGAAAAAUAACGAUACGGGACUCAUCCGAGGCCCCGUAAUCGGAAUGAGUACACUUUAAAUCCUUUAACGAGGAUCAAUUGGAGGGCAAGUCUGGUGCCAGCAGCCGCGGUAACUCCAGCUCCAAUAGCGUAU
rnacentral:rRNA from 1 species